rnacentral:rRNA from 1 species
UACCAGCUCUCCGAGUGGUAGGGAUGAUUAUUGGGCUUAAAGCGUCCGUAGCCGGCUUGGCGAGUCUCCUGUUAAAUUCAGCGACCUAAUCGUUGACCCGCGGGAGAUACUACUAGGCUAGGAGGCGGGAGAGGCCGACGGUACUUCCGGGGUAGGGGUGAAAUCCUAUAAUCCCGGGAGGACCACCAGUGGCGAAGGCUGUCGGCUAGAACGCGCUCGACGGUGAGGGACGAAAGCUGGGGUAGCGAACCGGAUUAGAUACCCGGGUAGUCCCAGCUGUAAACUAUGCGGGCUAGGUGUUGGGGUGGCUACGAGCCACUUCAGUGCCGCAGGUAAGCCAUUAAGCCCGCCGCCUGGGGAGUACGGCCGCAAGGCUGAAACUUAAAGGAAUUGGCGGGGGAGCACCACAAGGCGUGAAGCUUGCGGUUU